rnacentral:rRNA from 6 species
GGAGGGCGCUUACCACUUUGUGAUUCAUGACUGGGGUGAAGUCGUAACAAGGUAACCGUAGGGGAACCUGCGGUUGGAUCACCUCCUUA